rnacentral:rRNA from 1 species
UACGUAGGGUGCAAGCGUUGUCCGGAAUUAUUGGGCGUAAAGAGCUCGUAGGCGGUCUGUCGCGUCGGCUGUGAAAACCCGGGGCUCAACCCCGGGCCUGCAGUCGAUACGGGCAGACUAGAGUGCGGUAGGGGAGACUGGAAUUCCUGGUGUAGCGGUGAAAUGCGCAGAUAUCAGGAGGAACACCAAUGGCGAAGGCAGCUCGCUGGGACGGUACUGACGCUGAGGCGCGAAAGCGUGGGGAGCAAACAGG